rnacentral:rRNA from 1 species
AGAGUUUGAUCAUGGCUCAGAUUGAACGCUGGCGGCAUGCCUUACACAUGCAAGUCGAACGGCAGCACGGGGGCAACCCUGGUGGCGAGUGGCGAACGGGUGAGUAAUACAUCGGAACGUGUCCUCUUGUGGGGGAUAACCAGUCGAAAGAUUGGCUAAUACCGCAUGAGAUCGCAAGAUGAAAGCGGGGGACCGCAAGGCCUCGCGCGAGAGGAGCGGCCGAUGUCGGAUUAGCUAGUUGGUGGGGUAAAAGCCUACCAAGGCGACGAUCCGUAGCUGGUCUGAGAGGACGACCAGCCACACUGGGACUGAGACACGGCCCAGACUCCUACGGGAGGCAGCAGUGGGGAAUUUUGGACAAUGGGCGCAAGCCUGAUCCAGCCAUGCCGCGUGUGUGAAGAAGGCCUUCGGGUUGUAAAGCACUUUCGGACGGAACGAAAUCGCGCGGUUGAAUAUUCCGCGUGGAUGACGGUACCGUAAGAAGAA